rnacentral:rRNA from 1 species
AACGAACGCUGGCGGCAUGCCUAACACAUGCCAGUCGAACGAGACCUUCGGGUCUAGUGGCGCACGGGUGCGUAACGCGUGGGAACCUGCCCUUAGGUUCGGAAUAACUCCCCGAAAGGGGUGCUAAUACCGGAUAAUGUCUUCGGACCAAAGAUUUAUCGCCUUUGGAUGGGCCCGCGUUGGAUUAGCUAGUUGGUAGGGUAAAAGCCUACCAAGGCGACGAUCCAUAGCUGGUCUGAGAGGAUGAUCAGCCACACCGGGACUGAGACACGGCCCAGACUCCUACGGGAGGCAGCAGUGGGGAAUAUUGGACAAUGGGCGAAAGCCUGAUCCAGCAAUGCCGCGUGAGUGAUGAAGGCCUUAGGGUUGUAAAGCUCUUUUACCCGGGAUGAUAAUGACAGUACCGGGAGAAUAAGCUCCGGCUAACUCCGUG